GACGAACGCUGGCGGCGUGCCUAAUACAUGCAAGUAGAACGCACAGUUUAUACCGUAGCUUGCUACACCAUAAACUGUGAGUUGCGAACGGGUGAGUAACGCGUAGGUAACCUGCCUGGUAGCGGGGGAUAACUAUUGGAAACGAUAGCUAAUACCGCAUAAUAUUAAUUAUUGCAUGAUAAUUGAUUGAAAGAUGCAAUUGCAUCACUACCAGAUGGACCUGCGUUGUAUUAGCUAGUAGGUGAGGUAACGGCUCACCUAGGCGACGAUACAUAGCCGACCUGAGAGGGUGAUCGGCCACACUGGGACUGAGACACGGCCCAGACUCCUACGGGAGGCAGCAGUAGGGAAUCUUCGGCAAUGGACGAAAGUCUGACCGAGCAACGCCGCGUGAGUGAAGAAGGUUGUCGGAUCGUAAAGCUCUGUUGUAAGAGAAGAACGGGUGUGAGAGUGGAAAGUUCACACUGUGACGGUAGCUUACCAGAAAGGGACGGCUAACUACGUG
rnacentral:rRNA from 1 species